GACGAACGCUGGCGGCGUGCUUAACACAUGCAAGUCGAACGGAAAGGCCCUGCUUUUGUGGGGUGCUCGAGUGGCGAACGGGUGAGUAACACGUGAGUAACCUGCCCUUGACUUUGGGAUAACUUCAGGAAACUGGGGCUAAUACCGGAUAGGAGCUCCUGCAGCAUGGGGGGGGUUGGAAAGUUUCGGCGGUUGGGGAUGGACUCGCGGCUUAUCGGCGUGUUGGUGGGGUAGUGGCAUAACAAGGCUUUGCCGGGUAGCCGGCCUGAGAGGGUGACCGGCCACAUUGCGACUGCGAUACGGCCCAGACUCCUACGGGAGGCAGCGGUGGCGAAUAUUGCACAGUGGGCGGAAGCCUGAUGCAGCACCGCCGCGUGCGGGAUGACGGCCUGCGGGUUGUGAACCGCUUCCGCUUGUGACGAAGCGUGAGUGACGGUAACGGGUAAAGAAGCACCGGCUAACUACGUG
rnacentral:rRNA from 1 species